rnacentral:lncRNA from 1 species
AUGAAUAUGCUCCAUACCAAAAAACAGAAUAACUUUUCAUGUAAUUCCAUGCAUAUUGAAAAUACAGAUAAUUUUUAUCCCAUUGCAUUUUUCAGAAUUCUCAAUCAUAAUCCUCUGAAAGCCAUUGAAGAUCCAUCUCUUUUUACAUUAAAAGCAUUAAAUUAUCUGGACUUGGGACAGACGCAUGUGUCACUCACAGUACUGGAGAACAUCCUCGCGAAGUCUCUUGAAUUGGAAAGACUGAUCUUACCGAGCAUUAUGUUCUGCUGCCUCUGCCAGUUUAAAAAUGAUAUUGAGGAGGUCUGCAAGACAGUCAAGCUGCACUGUGACAGCACAUGUCGCGCCAAUGCCAAGCAGUGUCGUGAGUCUCGAUAGCCUAAUGA